rnacentral:piRNA from 1 species
GACCUCUUCAGAUCGCGUAUCCACGAG